AUAUCACUCGGCUCGUGGAUCGAUGAAGACCGCAGCUAAAUGCGCGUCAGAAUGUGAACUGCAGGACACAUGAACACCGACACGUUGAACGCAUAUUGCGCAUCGGACGUUUCAACCCGACCGAUGCACACAUCCUUGAGUGCCUACCUAGUUAUCUAUAUCCUUUACCAAACUGACUGUCCCUUCCUCGUGAUGGGCUGUCGCAACAUGGCGUGCUCGGACCCGGGACGGGCCCGUGGGCGUUGAAAGUGAGAGUGCUAAGUUAACAGGUGUGGUACACAAGGCGAGAGAUGAACGGGCGCGCGUCAAGUCGCAUCAGGUUCGACCUCCAGUAUCAACCAGGGAUGAAACCCCCGCAGCCUAACAGAUUAACACCAGGCGCUAGCAAAGGGGUCCCAGGUUGGCUCGGGUCGUGUAACACUUGCGGCCCAACGCGUCCGUCACCAUCUACUCGCCCUCGUUCGGGUAGCCACUCACAGAGUGAGAUACUAGAACUUCGAGUAGGCCUCAAGUGAUGUGUGACUACCCCCUAAAUUUAAGCAU
rnacentral:rRNA from 1 species